rnacentral:rRNA from 1 species
AAAUUGAAGAGUUUGAUCAUGGCUCAGAUUGAACGCUGGCGGCAGGCCUAACACAUGCAAGUCGAACGGUAACAGGAAGCGCUUGCUGCUUCGCUGACGAGUGGCGGACGGGUGAGUAAUGUCUGGGAAACUGCCUGAUGGAGGGGGAUAACUACUGGAAACGGUAGCUAAUACCGCAUAACGUCGCAAGACCAAAGAGGGGGACCUUCGGGCCUCUUGCCAUCGGAUGUGCCCAGAUGGGAUU